rnacentral:rRNA from 1 species
UACGGAGGGUGCAAGCGUUAUCCGGAUUCACUGGGUUUAAAGGGUGCGUAGGCGGAUAUGUAAGUCCGUGGUGAAAUCUCUGGGCUUAACCCGGAAACUGCCAUGGAUACUAUGUGUCUUGAAUGUUGUUGAGGUGAGCGGAAUAUGUCAUGUAGCGGUGAAAUGCUUAGAUAUGGCAUAGAACACCAAUUGCGAAGGCAGCUCACUAAGCAAAUAUUGACGCUGAGGCACGAAAGCGUGGGGAUCAAACAGG